GACCAUCUUUGGGGUGUGUUGGGUUGGGUAGAAAGAAAGGGGAAAGGAAAAUGAAGCUUGAUUCCAGCAGAAUGAAAUUCACAAACAAACUGCUUCAUUUGGUCUCCAACAUAAACUGCAAGAUUGCCUUUUGGGACUUCAUCCGCAGCCUUGGAAGAUGAUGAAUCGUCGAUGAUGAUGAUGAUGAUGGCCUUCUAAUACUGCCAGCAAAAGAUUUUAUUCAACAAACCCAAUCAUAACAUAAGGCAUGUUAUGUGAGUAUAAAAUAGUACAGCAAGGAAAAACAAGAGGCAAAACAAAAAAAAGAGAGCAGCUAGCCAAAGAGAACAAAGGCAAACGCUAACAGUAGCAGCAAACACCCUAUAACACAAACACAUCAUUGCAACAACCAGGAGCAGCAGGCCUACAAACACCAUCACCUACCCAUACAAUCGAUCGGACUCCACUUCCAUUCAUACAAAAGGCAUGGACCCUUCGCCAUCCUCCCAAUAAACCAUUGCCAAGAUAGAACCUUAAUUUGUUCCACCACCUCAUCAACAUUCACAAUGGUAUUAUUAAACAAACAAUCAUUCCUUCUCUUCCACAAAGCCCACAUAAAAGCAUUCCAAAUCAAACACAUACCUGCCUUCUCAAAUUUCUUGUUGCCACAAGUAGUCCACAUAGCAAAAGAAGUGACAAUAUUUGGAGGAAUCAUCAGAGAAAAACCCAACCAAGUAGUAAGGCCAUACCAUACCUUCGCCGUAUAAUCACAAUGGAGAAAUAAAUGCACCGCUGUUUCUAUUUUCUGGCCGCACAGUACACAGUUCUGUUGAUCAUGCUGGAGCAUCCUACGCUUCAAUAAAUUGUCCUUUGUCGGGACACGAUUUAAGAGCAGUUGCCACACAAACGCGCGUGUCUUCGACGGUGACGCACACUUCCAAAGCCUUUUAAAGGCGAAUUUCUCUACAGGUUGCAGAAUCCGAGUACUGGGCACCAUAUUCUCCAAUAAAACAUAUGCCGAUUUAACUGUAAACCCUUGAAUGCCGUCAUCUAGCCACAGCCAUCUGUCAUGAUAAUCCGUAGGAGCAAACGGCGCAAUAACAUCACAAAGUUCAUGGAAUUGAUCUUCUUCCCAUUGAAAUCGGUUACGACGCCACAACUUGUAGACAUGAUUAAUCCAAAGAUUAUUCGAAAUUUAACUUUGAAGUGAGAAGUGAUUUCUAAGAAAGCAUCUUCACGGCAAGGAAUUGUUAGACCACCCAUUGGAUGAUCGUAUCCAAAUUCUUCUUCUGCUUGACAUAGUAAUUCUUGAAAUGAAGGUUGAUUCAAGAAUGAAAUGGGAAUCACAAACCGCUUCAUUUUGUCUCCGACAUAAACCGCAAGAUAGCCUUUUGGGACUUCAUCCACAACCUUUGAAGAUGACUUUCUAAUACCAGAUUCAUGCCAUACUUCAUAGCUCAUUCAAGCGAGAAGUUAUAUUUUGGAAGAAAUCUUCGGUGCAAGGAAUGGUGAGGCCACCCAUCGGAUGAUCAUAUCCAAACUCUUCCUCAGCUUGACUCAAUAAGUCUUGAAACAAUGGUUGGUUCAAGUAUGAUACGGGGAUCACAAAUCUCUUUUGUUUCUCUCCCACAUACACUGCAAGAUAUCCCUUUGGCACGUCCACUACUUUUGAAACUGUCCGGUUUGCAGAAAAUGAUGAUGACCUUCUAAUGAUACCAGUGAAAUUUAACUUUGAAGUGAGAAGCGAGUUCUAAGAAAGCAUCUUCACGGCAAGGAAUUGUUAGACCACCCAUUGGAUGAUCGUAUCCAAAUUCUUCUUCUGCUUGACAUAAUAAUUCUUGAAAUGAAGGUUGAUUCAAGAAUGAAAUGGGAAUCACAAACCGCUUCAUUUUGUCUCCGACAUAAACCGCAAGAUAGCCUUUUGGGACUUCAUCCACAACCUUUGAAGAUGACUUUCUAAUACCAGAUUCAUGCCAUACUUCAUAGCUCAUUCAAGCGAGAAGUUAUAUUUUGGAAGAAAUCUUCGGUGCAAGGAAUGGUGAGGCCACCCAUCGGAUGAUCAUAUCCAAACUCUUCCUCAGCUUGACUCAACAAGUCUUGAAACAAUGGUUGGUUCAAGUAUGAUACGGGGAUCACAAAUCUCUUUUGUUUCUCUCCCACAUACACAGCAAGAUAUCCCUUUGGCACGUCCACAACUUUUGAAACUGCCCGGUUUGCAGAAAAUGAUGAUGACCUUCUAAUGAUACCAGGUAAACGAAAACCCAUCGUUGUAUAUGUUAUAACUUUCUUUUAACAAAAAGAAAACAAACUUUUAAGCAAUAACCAAGUUUUUGAAAUCUGAAUGCUUUAAGAUGUGAAUGAUUUUGUGUUGGUUCUAAAUGCUUUAAGCCAUGAAUAUAUAUAGAUAAAAGAAUAUUGAGAAACCAUUGGCUACUUGAGUGAUUGGUUAAGGAGAGCUCUAGUAUAGUGCAAUAUUAAUUAGGAUUGGUCAUAGUAUGUACAGUGAGACAAGAGCAUGUACCGGAUCACAUGGGAUUGUCUAGAGGUCUUUCCAAAGACCAAAUGUGAUAAUGUAUAUAAUAUAAGUCCCACCUUCUAUAAAUAAAACCAACAUAUUACCCCACCUGUACAUGCAAGAGUUCUGGUAUUCAAAUUUUUGGUAUGUCUAAACAACUAUUGAUACUUACUUACGGAGGCAAGGACCGCGAAGUUCUGUGGAAAUUUCACGGGGUUGGUUUUAUAAAAAUAUAAAUUGUGGUUCAUAAUGGCUCAUGAUCUUGUGUUCUAUAUUGAUUCUCUUCUUUCCUCCUAACAUUGUUUCUAAGCUAUCAAUGUGGUUCAUAAUGGCUCAUGAUCAUGGCUAAACAUCAUUAAUAUAGCAAUAUUGUUUGUUGGCUAUUGUCAGAAAUGUUAUAAGGGGUGAACAAGACAAGAACCACUUUUAUCAGCUACUCAAUGUAUUAGAGUAACUUCUUUUUAUAACCAAUUUCAUCAAAUAAAUAAAAUGUUAAAUAAAGAGGUUAAUGACUGUGCACUGUCAGUGUAUAAAAAACGUACACGGUCAUUCAAUUAUUACUCACUAUGUAAAGCCCUAUGAGUAAAACUCUUCCAUAGUUGGAGAAAAUGUAAGUGUUUUCAAGAUUAUGUCUCAACCUCACAGGCCAAUGAAUCGGAAAACGAUACACAUACUCGGUCCCCAGAUUUUUAAACUAUACAUAGCACAUAAAUGUACUUAAAAAGCAUUAAUAAGAAGAAAAUUAAGUUAACACAAACACACUAUUAUGUAUUAUAUAAUUACUUUAAUGUGCUAUUGAGAGUUGGGACAACAAGAUCAUUGGCAUGCAUGUGUUCUAUGGCUUUGAAGUGAUGAAAACUUAACUUGAGAAAUAAAGUGUGUAGGGUCCUUACCAACUGCCAAUGCAUGUGAUUACUUAUAGGCAAUUCUCACCUACAACAAUGUCUCAUCAGUUAGCAAUUAAAUUAUAUGUUGUGUGGUAGUACUUGUGCAGUUGGAAACGGUGGGGUGUUGAUGAAUACUAUACAAUCAAAAGGACUUUCCGUGCUCCUCACAAUGUACUAGUCCUGCAAGCUGUUAUGACAAAUAAAGCCAUUGAUUUUGACUGCAGAAAACAUUAUAACAUGCAACCAUUGAAUUUAAGCUCCCGGCAGACCAAUGACUAAUAGUAAUGUGCAGAUAAUGUAUUAACAAUUGAAGAAAUUUCAUUUAGCUCUCAUACCGCCAAUUUAGCUAUGCAUUAAUUAUUACAGAGGUUCAUGGGAUGUUGGUAUGUCAAGUGUGAGUAAGAGUCGAAUGGAUCGUAAGCGACCUGGUCACUCUUGCCGUGAAAGAGGCAUAUUUGCUAAUUUUACAUUUUGGUUCGCUAUGCUUUAAUUUGUUUAUCGAUGUCUGUUAACCCUGCAUUAGCAUUAGGAAUGACGCAGAAGCUUACAUCGAAAGGAUCAACAUCCUUUUUUAUGGUCAUCCACAUUACCACCUCGUGAUGAAUAUGAAAAAGUGGAUGUUGAGCAUCGUAUAAGUAAUGUGUCCCAUAUACCUGCUGAUGUCUUGAGGUUUUGGGUGAAAAUGUGGUGUCUAAGCCACUUAUGUGAUUACUCUUAGAUCAUUGUGAUGAUGAUCCUCCAAACUCCCCUCAUGACCUAAUAGUGGUAUAAGAGCCGAUUGUAUGACUAAAGGUGACUGACUCCUGGUAUAAAAAAUCUUCACGACAGUGGUGGUCAGGCACCUACGUGUUGAUAUUGUGUCAACGGCAGUACAAGUGUAUGUCGAUGAAAGAACAACAUCAUUAUUCUAGAAAUAAUUAUGUGGGUGGGCCAUUAUUCUAAAACAUCUUGUGACUCUUGGUGAAAACCUAUAAGACAAUACCAUGUGGUGGUUUGUGAGCCGUUGUCCUCACUAAACCCUAUCAUAUAGCUUGUUAAGUAAGUUGUAACCAUUCAAUUAUUUAGAUAAGGAUGUCAUUCAGUAAAAUAAUUAACCUUGUUACUGAAUUGUUGUUGUGCACUUGUUGAUUAUGAGAGGAAGGUACCUCAUGUAUGAUUAAGGCUUUGGUACUCAACAUUUUAAUUUCAUCUCUAGAAAAAUUAAUUUUGGAUGGUACACAACAGUUUAUCUUUCACCUGUCCUCGGAAAAUUAAUUUUGCUCUGCCCUUGCUAGGAAUCGUGUGUUCUAUUCCUACUUUGGAAAAUUUUAGACUAUGAUGUCUUUUUUUUUUUUUCUUUCUUAUAGCUAGCAACAUUACUCAUUUAGUCAGAUUCAUAUUUCUAAAGUUCUUAAAUGCAAUAAACCAAAAACAUAGAGGAAUUGCUAGAGUAGUCGAAUUCAUUGUCAUUAAACAAAAUAUAUGUACAAUUUCUCAAUCUAAUGGUCAUUUUUUCCCCAUCUUUACAAUUUGAUAAGAUGCCUAGUUUACAGAAAAAAUGUCUACUAAACUAUGUCAGUCUGUUUUGAUGUUAGAUUCAUAGUCCAUUGAAGCGAGAUGUUAUAUGUUGAAAGACAUCUUCUGUGCAAGGAAUGGUGAGACCACCCAUGGGAUGAUUGUAUUCAAACUCUUCCUCCGCUUGACUCAACAAGUCUUGAAACGAUGGUUGGUUCAAGUAUGAUAUGGGGAUCACAAAUCGCUUUUGUUUCUCUCCAACAUACACUGCAAGAUAUCCCUUCGGCAUUUCCACCGCUUUUGAUGCUGUUCGGUUUGCCACGAGUGAUGCCCGUUUAAUGAUACCAGAGAAGCGAAAACCCAUUGUUUUAUGUGUUAAAACUUGAGAAGAAUUGGUCUUAUAAAAGACUUGUAAGGAAGAAGCAAGUUUUUGAAAUUGGAAUGCUUUAGGAUGUGAAUGAUUUGUGUUGGUCCUAAAUGGUUGUAGCAAUGAAUAUAUAUAGAUAAAAGAAUAUUGAAAAACUAUUGGCUACUUGAAUGACUUGUGAAGUAGAAGGAAUCUACAAAGCAGACAAGACAUAUACAAGAUUACAUGGGAUUGUCUUAGAGGUCUUUCCCAACAUAGCACUCCCACCAGAAAACAGGCUUAUUCAAGAUAGAGAAAGUUUAAUUGACCUUGUUACUUAUUUAGCAAGGCUGGGACCGCAUAGUUCUGUUCUGGUAUGCAAAAUUCAUGGAGUUUGUUUUGCAAAAAUAUAAAUUGUGGUUUAUAGUGGUUUGUGAUCUUUUGUUAGAUAUCUGUUCUGUUCUUGCCUCCUCACAUUUUCUGAGAUAUCAAUCAGGUCCUACAUCAUACUCAAGCUUUACAAGUUGUGCACAUAAAUCUAAUAUUUAUUUGGUAGAUUUGUAUUAAUUGCAAUCUCAAUUAGAAGAAACAUGGUAGAUGUCUAAAGCAUGUCUACCAUUGGAUUAGCUAUAGCAACAAACAUCAAGUUUCUUUCACCAUUGCAUUGUCUUUGAUUUGAAGGUUGUUGAGUUAUCUCAUCACAGUAGAGUUUUUGCAUGUUCUUACAAUUAGCUUAAUCUAAUCCUUGAAAAUGACUUGUAUAAGACAAUACCAUGUGAUCCCUUGUCCCUCACUAGGCCCUAUCACAGCUCAUCAAAAUGAUUUCAUUGGCUAAUUGAUUUGUAGAGUCCCUUAGCAACUAUAUAUACACUAUAUUUUGGGUUCUCAAGCAACAAAAUUCAUUUGCAUCAUAAAUUAUCAGAAUUCAAAUAUUUCUUUCUCAUCAAAUCCUCUAACAUAAUCACUCUUUUUUUUGUGGUACCAUAAAAUAACAAUGGGUUUCCGCAGUAUUAUCAGAAAGGCAUCAUUUUCCAAAACUCAAGGAUCUACCAAGGGACUUGAAAUCCCAAAAGGCUAUCUCGCAGUCUAUGUUGGAGAUGAAAUGAGACGGUUUGUGAUUCCAAUAUCAUACUUGAACCAACCAUUGUUUCAAGACUUACUACAUCAAGCAGAAGAAGAAUUUGGUUAUGAACAUCCAAUGGGUGGUCUCACAAUUCCAUGCAAAGAGGAUGAAUUCCUAAACCUCACUUCACGUUUGAAUUGAGCUAUAGAUCAUGCUAAUGGAGAUUGAAGUAGAUUAGUUGAGGCUAAUUUGUACAUAAGGCCUUCUUUUUUUUGUAUUAUGAUUUAUUUAUUUUUUUUUUGUUUCUUUCAUGUAUCAUUCCUAUGGAAAUACUGUUUCCUGAAUGAGAAUGUUAUGACACAAGACAUUGUUGAAACAAUUAUAGCUUUUUCCAAAUCUCAAUGAAUUCUA